AUGUGUCUACAGGAUACCUUGUUGGAAUGCCUUAGAAACAAAUUUAAAAAAGAAAGGAUUCCCUUGGUUAGCUCAUCGAUCGUCCUGCAAAUGAAGGAGAAGUAUGGGAUUAAAAGGAAGUGUGCUGGACAAACAGAUUCUGAGGAACUUAGUCAACAACAAGAGGAACCCAAAGGUGCUACACCAACCAUAGUGUUUAACGGCUCUCCUGAUCCCCUCAAGGCUGAAAGCGUCAGCAUUAUAAUGGACAAUGUGAGCAUCAUAAGAGAGGCAGACACUGACAUGACACAGGCUGUGGAAUGCCUAUUUGCAGUUUAUUUUCUCUUCAAUGUGCAAUACCCGGUUGACAUUAAGCACACAAUGACUUUUAUUCAAAAAUAUAUGCUUAAACUUAGACAAGAGCAUGGCAAAAGAACACCAAUACCUGUACUGAAAAUGUACAGUCAACUUGUGUAAAUUGUAGAGCUAUUUAAUAGUUGUUUUAAUUGUUCAUGUAUUUUUAUCUGCACUGUCAAAUAUCAAAAAUGAUUUGUUUUUCCUCAUUUCAGAGAUAUAUGUAAAAGUAAUGUACUGUAUAUGUACAUAAACAAGCUUAUGUAUGUUUAUUGCAAAGUGAAAAUGCUUAAAUGAAAUAAUUCAAACUAAAUGGUUAAAUGUAAUUAAACAUCUUAAAUGUAAAAUAUGAAAUUUGCUGUCUAAUACAGAGUAUACAGAGGUGCAAUUUUAAAUGACACAAAUAUUUUUGUAUAAUCAGUUGAAUAAAUUUAAACAUUUAGAAUUUUCUGGAUUGUUU
ensembl:lncRNA